UAAUUUCAAGUUUUUAACUUAUUCUACGGUGGAUUUAAUGAGCUUUUGGGAUCGAUUUUAGAUGGCUUAUCAUAGCCUCGACUGAUUCUGUUGAUUGUGAAGAUCUUACUAGGUUCAUUUCAAUUGUCUAUUGAUGAUAUAUUGGCAGUUGAUACUUUCUAUUGUAAACGAGAAGAAUGAUAUUUUCUUUUAUAAUCUUUCUCACUAUAAGUUAUAAUUAGUUUUUUUAUUGCCAUUUCCAACACAUUUAAAUUUUCUAUUGUAGAUUUUUUUUUUUUUUGCAUUACCCUUAAAAAUUUAAUCAAACACAAAAUUGCAUCAAGCAAUUAGACCUCUUGUUGGUGGAAAUAUAGAUAAGAAAUCCUCUUUUGGGGUGAAGGGUUGAAUAAACUAAUUUAAAAUAAUUUUAUAAAAUUUAUUGGUGGGAGUUCUUGUAUCUUAAAAAAAUAUGCGUUUCUGAAAAAUGAUUGAACAUAAUCGUCAUCGAAUUUUAUUUAUUCAAAAAAAUAAAAAUAAAAAUUUUAAAUUUAUAAUUAAAUAUUAGUUAUCGUUAUCGUUUAUUGUUUUAUUCGAAUGAUCAAAAAUCUUAAAUGAAAAGAAAAAGAGUCGUAAAAAGAUUUUUAUUAGAGUGUUUGACGAGAUUGUUGUCUCGCUCCUACAUAUCUUUGAGUAUAAUGAGGAACUCAAAGCUUCGUAGUUCGAUGUAGUAAACUAUGUUUUGUAGGUUGAUUUAUUUUAUUGAACGAGUGUUUAAAUCACGCUCAAACUGAUAAAUGUUAUUUGUAUGCUAGCGGGAGAGACUUAAGUGUUUUUUUGUAUUCGCGUUAGAACGAGCUAAACAAUGUUCUCUUUAGGAGAAAAAAUUGUUCGCAGAGGGCGAGAAAAUAUGUUUGAUGUGUUUGAGUAUGUUUUAGAUUAUAAGACAAGUAUUUAUGAAUUACAAGUUAUUAAAGCUUAAGUCUAAUACUCGGAACUAUGAUUGGAUAUUACACAAAGUAAUCUUUUUAAUCUACUUUGUUAUGAAAAUAUUUGAAUAUUUACAAGUGUUUUGGAAGAAAAGACAAACACUUGGGCUUGCAAGUUAUUACAGCUUGAACCUAAUAUUCGAGACUAUGACUAGACAUUACAUUCGUAUAGUCUUUUUCUUUCAAUUUAUUUUGAGAAGAAGACACUUUUGAAUUUUUGGCGGAAGACAAGCAUUUGAACUUGCAAGUUAUUACGAUUUUAGGUCUAACACUCAGGACUAAGACUGAACAUUUCACCUAAGUAGCAUUUUCCUUCCAUUAUUGUUUGAAAUAGUCAAAGUAUGAAUUAGUCGUUUUGAUUUUCGUUGAGAAAAGAACUUGAUGUUAGGUCAAGCUUUUUAUUUGCGUUACGAAGCAAAUUGUGAAAAUUGUUGAUGGUUUAGAAUUAAUUUUGAAGAUGGAAAUCAAGUGUUUGAACUUUAUUAGAUUUGAAAAAUGCCUUUGGUAUUAACCAAGAGUUUUGAUUUCGAAAUGUUGAUUUUAUGUAGUUGAGCUGUUUAUUUAAUUCAAUUAUCCUAACUAAGCAAAAAGAAACAAGACAAAAUGAUACAAGAAGUUACAAAUCAAUGGAUACAGAUACACUUUUAUCAUGGGGGCAUAUUGAAGCAACUAUCAAUUAAACAAAAAAAAGAUCAAUGUUUGAUUUAAUUAAUCAAAGUUUGAUCAAACCCACUAUUUAGUUUAAUUAAAGUUAAUUACCAUAAUCCAUUGAUUAAAGAAAAAAAUUCAUUCAAUUAUACAAUUAAGUUAAUUAGAUUUAAUUAAAAAUAUCAACUAACUAGUAUAAACUACAAUUAACUAAUUAAGGGAAAACACGAAAUGCAAGGUAAAGUGUUAAAGAAAAAUAAAAGUAAAGGGUGCUGGCAGCAAAAGCUAGGUGUGGAUAUGCAAGCCAUGAAGGCUUUUGGGCCCAGAUCCAAGGCCGAAUGUCAUUUUCUUUCUUCAAGCCAGUAGUGUGAAAAAAAAGAGGGGUGUGAGAAACAAGAUGAUGGGCUAAAGCCCAAGACCCGAGCCUAAAUCAGUUUGAGUCUUCCCAUGGAGUUGCCAAUCGGCGCUCUCCACCAUAUCUCAGUAAUGUCGACCCAUGGCCUGGGGCGAUGGAAAUAAAAACAAAAAAAAAAAUACUUAGUUCACCGUCUCUCUCAUUCAACUCAUCUUUUCUCAAGGCCUUUUUCUUCCUUACAUUUUUUUUCUCAAAUCAAGUGAAGGAAUAUACGUGUAAUCAUGUGAAGGAAUGAGAAUAUUCCUUUACAUGUGUGGGAAAUUGGUGAGCUAGUUUAGGAUAGGAUAUAUUUCUAUUAUAGGAGAAAACUUACUUCAGAUUUGUAGGGGCCAACAGAUUCAAACAUGGGUAAAUUAGGAAUUAGCUUGAUUGGGACUUUUGUUUGUAGUGAAAUAGGCAUCCUUCUAGAAACUCAAGUGGUCCCUCAAGAUGUAUGAAAUCACCAUAUAAAUGUAAACCGAGUCUUGUGCUUUAUUGCUUAAAAUAUUGUUGCUUGGUAUCUUAGUUUCAAGGCAUUCCAUUUGAUUUUCUGCUUGUAUUAGCUUUGAGUUCUUUGGAUGUUCAAUUUGACACAAUGCUCACGAAUUUGAAUUGCCUAUGAUAACAUGAACCUUACACCUUUUAUCUUGGAAAAACUUUGGUGCUCAUUUGGCUCUUUUAAGGCUUGAUCUUGAAACUUGACAGUUUGAUCUUGAAUUUCGAUAUUCAUGUGGUCUUUUGGUUUCUUGCAGGUUAAGUAUCUUACUUGUGUAUCUUGACACAAGUUUCUUCUAUAAGCCUUGAAUUUUGGUGCUUAUAUAUUUGCUUCCAUGUUUGGCAAAUGACGGGGAAUUGGAUUUGCAAGACAAUGAUGCCAUGGUGAAGAAAAAGAAGAGCAAAUAUGAGUUGGGCUUUUGGAAGCUUUGUACCGUUAAAGCCAAAUAUUGUACUUAUACUUCUAAUUCAAUUUAUUCAUAGGACUUGGCGGACUUGUAUCAAAUGUAAACUUGUGAAUCAAAUGGGUAGUUUGUAGCACUGCACAUGAUUUUGUAUUCAAAGAGGGUAAUAACCUUGUAUCGUGGCAAUUCACAUCAAUUCAAAUUAGAAACCUUUCUCUUAGUUGUCUAUUUUUUUUGUUAUUUUUAUAUUUGUAUUGAAUGAUGAUAAUGUGAGUGUCUAUCAUAUUUUAAAUCACUUUAGAACUUGAAUGCACAAGUGAUGAUGGAUAAUGUAUGAGGUGAAAUGUCUUUGUAUGAAUGAGGUUAUUUAACAAGGAAAUGCAAUGUAAUGUAUUUCUCCUAAGUUCAAACUUUAAUUUUCUCUUAUAUAUGUUUAGAAGUAUGGUGAAUCAAAAUGACAUUUUAUUUGAGUGGUGAUGGUAUGCUAAAUUUAAAAACAAUAUUGAUGACAUGCACUCAACUUUGGUUUUUAUUUGCUUAUGGUAUAAGGAUGGAAUUUUGCAUUAGAAAUAGGCAAUGUAUGAAUUGAAAGUGAAGAUGAUGAAUCCAACUAGGAAGAACUUCUAAUGUAAAAGUGCAAUUAGAGCAUGUAGGUAUGAAGUGAUUUUGAUAUAAUGUAAAUGUGUGAUAUCUUAAAAGUAAUGAAAAACAUAAUUUAUUUUAUUCAAUCCUUAUUUGAUGACAAAAGAUGCUUUUUUUAUUCUAUUUCAAAAUUAUAACUUUACCAAAAUGACAUUUGAUUAUCAAUGAAUGGAAAAUUAACAAACAAAAUUAAAAUGGAAUAAAAGACCAAAAUAUAAUGCAAGUGAUCACAUAUAAAGAAGUCAAAUGUAAAAGUCAAACUUUGACUUUGACUUUCUUAAAAUGCCAACCAAUGAGUGAUAAAGGAUGAAGAUGAAAGCCAUUAGACCAAAAAGGAUAAAAAUGCUUAAUCAAGACCGAAAUGUCAACCUCUGACCUUUGAUUUUAUUUAAAUGUAUGCAGAUGAAUGGUUUUUUUAAACUGAUGAAAAUAUAUGACUAGAUGCAAUGAUCAUAUUGAUGCAGAUGAAAUGAAACUAAAAAGAAAAUGCAAUGCAAUUUUAAAGGUCGAACAAAAUUAGGGUAUGACAGAAGGGAAAACAAAAUAAGAUGAAAUUUUAGAAACUCUUCAAAAUGAUUUCUAACCAAUAUAUUACAAUGAUAAACUGAGUUGCUUGAUCCAAGCAAUUUAAAUACUUGAUAUAUAAAUGCUUUAGUCAUAAUUGAAUUUAAAGACAAUUCAAUAUGUUUGAUGCAACAUGAACUUAUGCUUACACAAUAAACUUCUAUAAGAGAGAUAUGGAAGAAUUACAUAACGAUCUAAUCUAGAUGACAUACAAACGAAGUUAUGAUGCAACAAUUACAUAACGAAUACAAAAAUUAAAGAGAGAUAAGGAAGAAAAAUAGUAAAUAGAAAUAUAUAGUGGUUCAGUGUUAUCGUCCUUGCAGACACCUACUCUAGUAUUCAAUGGUUUUAAAACUAUCAUAAAAUAAUAAGAUCUUCCACUAUUUCAAGAGUUAAGGUAUAAGUAUUUUGAUAUAACAAACUAUCAUCAAUCUGAACACAAAUAGACACAUUGCAUUAGCCUACACACAUAUCAAUUGAUAAUUCAUCUUUAUUUUAAAAUAGUGUACUACCUAAAGUAUCAUGAGGUCUUGAUAGACCUUCCUCUUUUAUUUUAAAGAGAACACCAACAUAUCGUGACAUGUCCUUAUUUGCACAUUAUUGGAUACAAGAUUUAGUUAAAAAAAACAACGAGAUAAAUAUGUCCAUCACAUACAUAUCCACUCAACCUACUAUGAGACUUAUCACUAAGGGUUAGAGAUGUUGAGAUCAUUCUCAAUGAAAAAAUUUGUCAUGAUCACAAUCGUUGAUAUCCAUCAUCAGUGAUCAUUUCUGGACCAGAGACUCACAAACCAUUGUAUACUAAAGAAUGUACUCCUUGCCUUGUACAACUUCAAUUAUUAUGCGAUAAGGCUUUGAGCUACAAAGCGUCCCUGCAAAACAUACUAGAUUUUCACCUUUGGUGCCCAAAUUUUCUUGGGUCCUAGUGCGUUAGAUCUUGCAUAUGGUUUUGGGUUGUUACGUUUAAACAUUUUCAACUUAUUAAAACAAAAGGGCUCUAAGUGGCCAAAUCUCUUGCAGUGUAAGCAUUUGUAAACAUGAUGAUUUAAUUUCUUCUUAUUUGAUCCCUUGCUAGAUGCUUUAUCUGAUUUAAAUCCUAUUCCACUUUUCACUACAACAAAUAACACUUUUCAUGACGAAGCUUUCACAUCGAACAAUAGAAAAAUGAGGUAUAAAGUCAAGGCGCACUAUUUUUUAUUAUUAAAAAAAAACAAAAAAAACUAUAUAUUCCCUCGGAUUUUCAAAACACCGAGGUGAAAAAACAACAUUGUACACGUUUCGAUUCUCAGCUAUCGUAGUUUAUGACUUUAUUUGUUUAUAAGUAUAAACAAAAUGUUUUAACCAUUCAGUUUUAUAUUUAACCGAGACAUAAAAUAAUAAGAUUUUACUAUAAAAGCACUCGUUAAACAGAUUUUACCAUAAUCCUUACUAAUAUGAAGUCGCCCCAAACUCGCAAGCAUCAUUCUUUGGGAUGAAUUGCAAAACGAAAAAUCUUCAAUGUUCUUCUAUCUUGAACAAAACAUUUUUUCUUCCCUUGCAAUCUAUAAGACCCCAAUUUUGACCCUAAGAUCCCUCAUACCAUCUCAUCAUAUGCAUUGACAUUGAGAUCACACCUUGACAUCCUCCUUACCUUUCAUUCAUUAGGUUGGCAUUGGGAGAGAUCACCAAGCACUUUUGAUUUUAUCAUACUUUAUUUUUCAUUAUUUACAAACCAAAAUACCAAAAAUAUGUCAAUGUAUAGUUUAACUCUUUUGUAGGUAGUGUGUAUGCUCACCUAUGCUCUAUCAAGCUCACAUAUAGAGUUUAAGACCCUCAAUGCAAGGAGAACAAUCAAGAAAUGGUUCACAUUGGCUCUAAGCAUCAUAUAUGGUUCCCCAUGAUAUUCACAUGUUAUUUUGAUCAAGGAAUCAUCAAGAGUUUGGAGUUUGUUUGUCUUGGAAACCCUAGUUCAUCGGGGUAUCUUAUGUGACUUCUUCAACAAGCUUCUUCAACAAUUGAUCAAAUUUUUCAAGGGAUACUUCAUAUUACAUAAUCCUAUACAUAUAUGAUCCUCCAUGAGUCCCAAAAGUCAAGAGAAUGUCAAGCUAGCAAGUUGGUUCAUGGUGGUUGACCAGAGAAAGUCAAUUGGUCAAAACUGGGAUUCCUUAGACCCUAUCUCCUACAAUUUUUGUCAUAUGAAAAUGACUCCAAGAGAAACAUUACUCUAAGUGACAUUACAAAAAACUUUCAUGUUAAGGUCAAUAGCUAUUUUUGCUUGGAAAGUCAUUUUUUAUGGUGAAAGAUUAUAGGUCAUUUUUUUUCAAAAUCCUAGUUUUGAGGACAACUUCCCAAGACCAUAACUUGCUCAUUUUUUAUGAUAUUAAAUCCAUUAAAAUUUUAUGAUCAAAUUCCAUAUGUCUACUUCAACUUUUAUGUUUGGAGAAAGUUCAAAUUCAACUUGCAAAUGCAUGUUCCAAGAGGAAACAUUAUAGGUCAUUUUGGGCAAAUACCAUUGAACAAGUGAUUUUCCUCAACUUCUAAAAUGCAUAACUCCUUCAUGCCAAAUCCAAAUAAGGUCAAAUUUGUUACCAAAUUGAAUAGAUUUGAAAUAGAUACAACUUUGGUGAAGGAAUAUUUCUCAUUUUAGGUCCAUAGAAAAAGUUAUUCAAGGUGGAAGAAGUGAACAUAUGGCUUGGUACUUAGAAAAUUUUCAAAUAUGUUUGAUUUCCCAAACUUCCACCUCAAAAUCCAUCAUGAUCCAAGAUUCAAAUGGAAAAGUGUUAAACAUGAAAGUUGUUCCCCUUGAUCUCACCUUUCUAAAAA
rnacentral:lncRNA from 1 species